UGCAGAACGACGAUAGGCGGUUUUGUACUUCAAACGACGCGCGGUCAGGCAAACUAAAAAUGAGAUCGAAGAAGACAUGACAACGAAGCCAAAGAAUGCUCGCAAAGUACAGUCUGCAACCCCGAAAAAUGCUAAUUCCGUUCAUGCCCUAAAAAACCAUUAUUACAGUUUUAAUUUUAUAAAUCGAACUACAAAAUUCGCCAAUUUGCGUUUUAUUUAUGUAACCGAAUUGUAAAAAGCGUUUAUAAAAAACCGUGCACGAAAUCUCCCACUUAAUAUUCGCUUUCCAAAUUCAAUAUGCCGUGUAAAAAUGCGGCCACAUGUGCACGCGAGUUUCGCUAAUUUGUCCCAUGUACAGCGAUGACUGAUGCCGAUUCCGCUGACGAACCUGACCGCAGCAGAGUAUAUUUUAAAUUAAAAAUACCAACAACAAGAACAAACAUUCAUGAAGCCACAGCUGCGUGAGAAUUUUUAUGACAAAAGAAAUAGCUACGAACGCGGUGGUAGUUGGGAAGGGCUGGCAGCAUCGUCAACGCCAUUUAAACAACGACAACGAACGGCCAUUAUGCGAAUUGUUACGGCGCAUAUGACUCGGUACGCAUCGGCUGCUCUCAAUCGGUCAUGGCUCUCUUAACUCAUGUUCUGGUCAAAAAAUACAUUUUGACGAGGGUACGCGGAAGAGCAGCUAUAUAAACACGUUUGUCAGGGAGAGAGCAGAGCUCAAAUGUAUGAUAUAUAAAGAGCAAGCGAGAAAGGCUGUAGACCUCUGAAUAAAUAAGUGCGAGCAGUAUGAAAAAUAUGCAGCCUUUGUGCAUUAAGAAAAAUCAUUCAGAGGAGUAAGGGGAAGAAAGUUGAUAUGAAAAAAAAUAUAAAAGAGGGGAAUGGAAUGACGCAUUCUCACGCGUAUACUAUAUAAUAUAAACAAAAAACAAGCCAUACGUAGAUAUGUAUUUGCCGCAACUUUGUGUUACAUGAGCAAAAACAUGGAUGUUUCGAGAAGGGGUCAUCGUACAUAGCCCCUUUUAAAAAUUCCAAUUUGUAUACGAAACAA